GAUGAACGCUGGCGGCGUGCUUAACACAUGCAAGUCGAACGGAAAGGCCCAAGCUUGCUUGGGUACUCGAGUGGCGAACGGGCGAGUAACACGUGGGUGAUCUGCCCUGCACUUCGGGAUAAGCCUGGGAAACUGGGUCUAAUACCGGAUAGGACCACAUUUUGGAUGGUGUGGUGGAAAGUUUUUCGGUGUGGGAUGAGCUCGCGGCCUAUCAGCUUGUUGGUGGGGUAAUGGCCUACCAAGGCGUCGACGGGUAGCCGGCCUGAGAGGGUGUACGGCCACAUUGGGACUGAGAUACGGCCCAGACUCCUACGGGAGGCAGCAGUGGGGAAUAUUGCACAAUGGGCGCAAGCCUGAUGCAGCGACGCCGCGUGGGGGAUGACGGCCUUCGGGUUGUAAACUCCUUUCGCUAGGGACGAAGCGUUAUGUGACGGUACCUGGAGAAGAAGCACCGGCUAACUACGUG
rnacentral:rRNA from 1 species